UGGGGAAUAUUGCACAAUGGGGGAAACCCUGAUGCAGCGACGCCGCGUGAACGAAGAAGGUAUUCGUAUCGUAAAGUUCUGUCCUAUGGGAAGAUAAUGACAGUACCAUAGAAGAAAGCUCCGGCUAAAUACGUGCCAGCAGCCGCGGUAAUACGUAUGGAGCGAGCGUUGUCCGGAAUUAUUGGGCGUAAAGGGUACUCAGGCGGUUUAAUAAGUCGAAUGUUAAAGAUCGGGGCUCAACCCCGCAAAGCAUUGGAAACUGAUAAACUUGAGUAGUGGAGAGGAAAGUGGAAUUCCUAGUGUAGUGGUGAAAUACGUAGAUAUUAGGAGGAAUACCAGUAGCGAAGGCGACUUUCUGGACACAAACUGACGCUGAGGUACGAAAGCGUGGGGAGCAAACAGG
rnacentral:rRNA from 1 species